rnacentral:lncRNA from 1 species
GUCUAGCAGCAGAAUGUCUUUGAAACAGCUGUGCCUAUGACCAAGUUCAUGCAUCGUGGUAGACAAGGUAAAAGCUCUGGACAAGCAAAGGGGAGGGAUGGAUGGGCAUGCAAUACGAUCACUUCAAUCUUAUCUCUCUAAGAAACCUUACUGAGAAAACAGAACAGAACAAAACAGAACAGAACAAAUGAAACAAACAGCUAGCUUGCUGGAGACAUUGUCUGGGAAACAGUGAAAACACUUGCAGACAAAAACAUAUCAAAGGACUAACACUUUGAGCUUAAUUCUAAACCAACAUCCUCAACUCCAACUCUUGUUUAUGUUCAUUACAGACUAGUAGAAUAACAUGUCACAUUUGAUGACUUUGCAGCAUAGAUGUCAGGAAUGCAGCUUGGGAUCACCUGCUUCUACUUAGAGUUCAGUCUGAAGGGAUGAGCAAGUAAUUGUUCCUGGGCUGAUGGAAAUCUGUUCUAAAGUCUGUUUUCUAACACUCUUCUAGAUGCUUCUCUGUCCAUCGCUCUGACCUGCCAACUCUGGUGCAAGUGUGCAGUUGUGGCAAGAGGGAUUUCCUAGUCCUGAUUUGACCUGGUGGACACCAACUUUCCUAGUCAAUUGCCGAUGUUGCUGAGGAGGCAGCAGUAUCAAAGCCCUUGUUGAUGAAGAUAGAACAAGUUUGGGGAGGCUUUGGCAUUUCUGCACAAUGCUGCUUCCUGAUUGUGACCCAAGACGCAGAUUCUGAACUAGGCAAAUAUCCCAAACUCCAGAUUACAUCUGAUCUUCAUCUCUGAUCUGAAAAGCUUCGCAGGCCAAAAGAGAAUUGAGAUGAGGAGUGAAAUACAGAAUGCUGGUGAAUCUUUCCAGUUCCCACCCAAACCACUUGGCGAGCCAAGCCAAAUCACCGAAAAUGGAAGUAGUGGAACUACUUCCAAACCGUGCUGCUGCUUCUAAACCAAACUGCAGUAUAGGUGGGGACAGAGCAAGGGGACACAAGCCAGCCAGGGCGAAAUUGAAAGUCACCUGUCUGAGCCACGGAAGGCAGGCAGCAGCAGUUCCCCUGUGGGCUGUGCAGGGAGAGGCCCCUGGUGGAGCAGGCUGUCCCCCUGCAGCCCAUGGGUCCCCCAUGGAGCAGAUCUCCACGCUGCAGCCCCCCCAUGGGUGGAGGAGCCCCCGCUGGAGCAGGUGGAUGUGGCCUGGAGGAGGCUGCGGCCCAUGGAGAGCCCCCGCAGGAGCAGGCCCCAGGCCGGAGCUGCAGCCCGUGGAGAGGAGCCCACGCAGGAGCAGGGGGCCUGGGGGGAGCUGCCCCCACCCGUGGGGGACCCGUGCUGGAGCAGUUUGCUCCUGGUGGAUGGACCCCAUGGGACGGAGCCGUGUGGGAGCAGUGCUUGAAGAGCUGCUGCCUGUGGGCAACCCCCACGGGCUCAGUUGGGGAAGGACGGCAUCCCUGGGAGGGACCCCAUGUUGGAGCAAGGGCAGAGAGUGA